AUUGAAAUUAUCUGGUUUACUUAAAAUGCAGUAAUAUGUACGUUUUUCUCCUGGGCCCCCAAACCUCAAAGACCUCAUUCUGGAAAGAACCUAGUUAACAAUAUGUGGUCUAAGUGGCCAUAACCACAAAGUGCCUAUUUGGCAGAAAACUCAUAAGCAGGUAGUCCUAUCUUGAGAAUCUAAUUCCACAUGCCUAACAGCAUACCCAAGAUCACUAUUACCUCCUACCCCUUCCAAAAUAACAACGUUCUCACCUCCCGAUCUGGAGUCUGGGUCCAAAUGAGAAAGCAUUGGCAAGCGUUUCCACGCAGGGAUAAGCACCCCCACGUCUUUCCAGCUUAGCUCUCCAAGCAGCUCUGGCAGUUAUCUCACUAGAAACCUUGGACUCAGACUCCGACCACGCCCACUCCUCCCGGUCCACCCAUGAUCCCAAAUCCCAUUGGUCACCCGCAUCAGGGUAGCCAUGCAACUCCCGCCCCCGCUCCGUAAUUGGUGAGGGUAAUUGCCGCUCCCAGUACGGCGGAGCUGGGCUCUCUCUCGGUCCACCGGCACCACCUGUUGCCCUUAAGUUAGAAAAGGCGGCGUUCUCGGAGGGAGCCAAGCAGCCGCUGCAGGUGAAGGGGAGCCUCCGGCGGUCAGGUAGCCGCCAGGCUGCCGGCUCCGUUCGGCCCGGCGCACCUGCAGCGCAGCCAGGGCGCCAAGCUGAGGCUCUCACAUCCGGGGCCCGCAGUCACCGCCAACGCGUUAACCCUUUGUCCGCAGGCCCGAGGGUGCCGGCUGUGACCGCGCGGGCCCCUAAGGUGCUAGAGAUUAGACCUGGCGCGCCCGCUAGGCUGGCUUAGCUGGGGGUAGCAGCUCAACUACUUCCUCCUGACUUCCAGCAGCUGUUCUGGUUUCUUUCCCAGCAUUCAUACUCCUCCGUGAAAGACUGUGAGGUGAGCAGUCAGGUAAAUACAUGCUUAACCAUUAGAGAAACUAAGAUCAAAAAGCAAUGAAGUGGUUCACCUAGUAUAUCUGGCCCUGUAAUAACAGUGGAGCCA
rnacentral:lncRNA from 1 species